rnacentral:lncRNA from 1 species
GGGAGCCAAGGCCCUGACAGGGGACACAUGGGCAAGGCAGCGGGUGGCUCUGGGCUAAGCUGACCAGAUUGCCCCUUACUGAGCUCUGUGCCUCCUUCUUGAACACAGGAACAGGAGUGUGACAGGUUCCACAGAGGGUGACUGGAGGCUGGGGGUGAGUGAGCAAUGGUACUGUGACGUAGAGAGGGGCAGCAGCCACUCCCACCACAGGGCACCGAUUCACCUCCCCAGACACAGGGCAGCGUACACCCAGGGAGACAGGUCGUGGGGGACAUGGGGUGGAGGGCAGGGAACUGCUCAGGCUCCAGGGAGGAAAUGCAAGUCAAGCCUGUGGGACCAGUGCAAACCCCAAACCUGAGGGUGAGAGGUACAGGGGGCCCAGCCGGCAGGAAGUCAACCUCACCCCAGGCCAAGGCCCGCAGACUAAGAGGCGACUGGGGCUGACCUUGAGCUCCUGGGUCAUGAGAUUAGAGCCCCCUCAGCAGGAGGCAAGCAAGCAUCUGCAGGGCAUGACCUCCAGGGAAUCUCUAGCUUCAUCCAGAAAAUUCCCCCUGCUGCCUUGGUGGCUGGUGCUGAAGUGCCCCCAGUGCCUCCUGCCUUGGAGACAGUUCCUUCUUAGGGUGCUCUGGUGGGUGCUCUGGUAGGGGACAGGGGCACUGGCUGCCAAACCCAGGCCCAAAAACCCAAGUUGCCACUCAUGGCUGAGGGACCUGGGGGAGGCCUCUUAGCCUUCCUGAGUCCCAGGGUCUCCUGCCGUGCGAUGAGGACCCUGCCUGGGUUUGAGGUGGAGUCAGGUGCUACAUGUCCCCACACACCUGGAGCAGGCAGGACAGCCC